GGUAGGGUUUGCAUCAGCCAUAUAGCUGGCAUAUGACCGAACACCCUUUGGAACCCCAAUCUUGAUCUCACCAGCAAACCACAAUGGACUAGACUCCCAGAGAGCAGGUACCAAGGAGCAGCUGUCCAGCCAGAAGAUACUGCACUGGAUGGAGGAUUCCUAGGAGGGAGGCUCAGUGUUCCGGGAACAUUGUCCCACUUGACAGGGAUGGCCUAGAGCAGCAGCCUAAUAUUUCAGGAAUGGAGUUGCCAUUAGUCUGGGUCUCCCAAGUCACUGGAGUGAGCAGAAUUCUUCUGCUGAUGCCCAUUGAAUGUACAGUGAGGGAAGGAAGAGACUCUUGCUGCCUUCAGCCACUGAAUGUCAGGCCUGCUUGUUCCAGCAACAUAGCAGAGCCUGUUCUGACUGAUGUAACCUGGCUUCCAGACCUGCCAUCACUAGAGAUGAUCCUCACUUGCUACCUGCACACCUGUCUGGAACCCGACACUUACAUCCUAGUCUUUGCCUCUUCAACAGCUGUGGUCCAUAGGCUUCAUUCACUGUGCCCUCACUCUGAAAUACAGUUUAGGGCAGUUCCCUUUUCU
rnacentral:lncRNA from 1 species